rnacentral:rRNA from 1 species
UACAGAGGUCCCAAGCGUUGUUCGGAUUCACUGGGCGUAAAGGGUGCGUAGGCGGCCAGGUAAGUUUGGUGUGAAAUCUCCGGGCUUAACCCGGAAAUGGCAUUGGAUACUAUCCGGCUCGAGGAAUGGAGGGGAGACUGGAAUACUUGGUGUAGCAGUGAAAUGCGUAGAUAUCAAGUGGAACACCAGUGGCGAAGGCGAGUCUCUGGACAUUUCCUGACGCUGAGGCACGAAAGCCAGGGGAGCAAACGGG